AAUUUGUUCUUAAAGAAUUUAUCAUGACCAAUCAAAUAUCACCACAUAAAUUGAAACGGAUAGACAUAUCAAAAAGCUAAGAUAUAAUAGAUGUCAAUGACAUCUUGUGGUGAUUUUAGACAGUGUCAGUGAAGGAUAUAAUACGGAAAAUUUUCUUCUUUUCAAAUUGGAAUGCUGUUUGAAAAAUCGCACAUGAGAAAAGUUAUGGUGGAGAAUAAUCUUUUUGUGUUGUUUCACAAGGCUGAGAAUCAUAUAUGAUUUUUUUUAAAAGGAUGGAUUGAUUUUUGCCACAGAAUCUACAGAAUGAGGCUGGAAGAAAAGAAAGUUGUGUUUCUUCUCUUAGCCAGCUCCUUUAUACAUAUAUACCCUUCCAUUUUAUUACUUAUGAGGAUAUCUAAAACUCACACAAAAUCAACAUCUUCAUCAAGUUGAUUUUUUCUCUCUUACUUUUAAAAUCUUCUCAUUAUCAUUCUUUAUUUAACUUAAGUGGUGGUGGUACUAAUGGCAUCCAGGAGAAUUCUUAAGGAGCUAAGAGAUUUGCAAAGAGACCCUCCAACUUCAUGCAGUGCAGGUCCAGUAGCUCAAGAUAUGUUUCAUUGGCAAGCAACUAUAAUUGGUCCAAAUGACAGCCCUUAUGCUGGAGGUGUUUUCUAAGUCACCAUCUAUUUCCCCCCUGAUUACCCUUUCAAACCUCCCAAGGUAUGACUUUUAAUAUCAUAAGCCCUAACCCCCCAACACCUUAAAAAGGAAAGAAAAAAAGAGGAAAUAACAAAGUACUAGUGAUAUUAAGUUCCACAUAUAUUGACAAGUGGCUUUCCAUAAAUAAUAAUGGAAAUAUUUGUUUGGACAUUCUUAAGGAUCAAUGGAUUUCAAAAAUAUUAUAUUCAUGAACAACUUGGUAAGUCAUAAAUGCAAAGAUUGAAUUGCAUUGCAGAAAUCAUUAUACUAAAGCUUUUUCCUCAAAUCUUCAAAUAUUCACUCCUCAACGAGACCUCAAAUCUCAAUAUCAAGAUUCUUAGACAAAUCGGUAACCUUAUUCCUUGUAUAAGAACUCUAUAACUUUAUCUUGAAAAAAUUAUUGAAGCAAAACCAAAGGUUCACAUACGGACAUGAAGGUUCACGUGAACAGAAUAAUUAAACACAACACCAAAAUACACUCCUACCUAUGGACAUGAAGAUAUUUGUCCUCAUAAUCUUUUAAGCCUAAGAAGCAUCUUGCUACACUUGAUAAUAAAGAAAAAGUUGAAGUUAUAAUUCACAAGAAAUUAUGAAUACCAGAAAACAACACAAGAAAAACUUCCAAUCUGAUCAAGAAAAAUUGCAGCACACCAACUCAAAAAUAACAUAAAAUUAGAGAAAUUUUUUACAACCGAUUCAAUUGAAAAAAAAAGUAAGGAGAACUUUACUUACUGCUGUGGGAGAAACCAUUGAAGGAGAAUCAAAGAGCCCCAUAAAUUAUUCCGGUAUUAUUCCUUCUUUCAUUAUCAUAUAUGUCUUCAAAGCACUCAUUAUCUGAUUGUAAGAAUUCAUCAUUUGAGCAAAAUUUUCUCGACAUUGGAACGAACAAGAACCUCCACUACUUGAAGCACUUGUACCACCAAAACAAGGUUUAUCUUGUUUGAAAACUCUACUAGGAACAACUCCUAAUCCUAAGCAUCUCACCCUUCCAGAGUGCUCUGGCCUAGCGCCUUACCAACGACAUCGUUUGGCGAAACUUGAGACUCAUCUAUGGCGCUUCGGCUCAAAGCUGACUCAAUUUUUUUCCUACAUAUAGAAAAUUUGUUGUCAAAAUAAAUUAAAAAUAGAAAUUUAUUUGGCAUACCAUGGUUGAUUACUCGACAAGAGUGUAUGGCACAUAAGUAUAACUCACACAUAUUUGUUUUGCCGCUUCAUUAAUAUAUACUCCAUCUUGAUUCUUAUGAGUAGCAAUGUACAUUUGUGCUAGCCUAGACCAUUGUCCAGUCUCGGCCAUUUAUAAAUAUAAAAACAUAAUCAAAAUAAUUUACUAGUUAGGAAUAAUUAUAUUCGAGGUUAAUUCACUCACCAUUUUAGCCCUUCUUGUAGCAUUGGCUUUAGAGCCACCAGUGUGUGGAAUUAUCUGUUUCUUUUGAUUUUCACGGUUCCUUUGACGCAUGUUCUUACAAAAUAUAUUUAUACCUUAAUUAGAAAAAAAUAAUUAUACAACUAUAAAGAAAUUCAUAUACAUAAAUACCUUUGUUGAUUCUUUAAAAUUGUAUUCAAUAAAAAAAUCCAUUGAUCCGGUGGGAUCCCAUCCGACAGCUUAUCCAUAAUCUAAGCUUUACUUUUAAGUGGAUCAUCAACUUUAUUCCACGUGUUAAUCUUAUUUGUAGCCACUUUUUUCCAAUAGAUAAAGAAACAUGUCAUUGAGCAAUUGAUUCGGCUGUCUCAAAGAAGAAUUUGGGUUUCACAAAAUGAAAAUAUUGGUUAGCUUUUCUACUACAUGUAAAUAAAAAAUACAAAGAUAAAAUUAAUCAGUGGGUCAUUGCUACCAGUUGCUAGUAAUUGGACUACUAACACUAGCAAUUUUCUUGAUUAAGCCAUCUUCUUCCUCCCAAAUUAUUAGGCGCUUCUCAUACAAUGUAAGUAACUGAAAUUCUCUAGUUAAUUUAAGUUUAAUUAGCUAAAGGUACAAGUGUCUAACAAGUGAUUUUUAUUUUGAUUUAAUUGUUUUUUCAGAUAAAAAAGAAGAACGUUACACAUUUGUGUCACACAAAAAGACUGCUAACAGUCAACAACAAGUAUCCAAGACCUACAAUUUUUGUUCAUGAAGGUGACAAUAUGGAGGUCAAGGUUACUAACAAGUUCCCCUGGAACACUUCUAUCCACUGAAAAUGCAUCAAAUCAAUUCUCAGAUUUGUCGCAGCACUGGACAAAUAUAUACUGUAUAUGCAAAGAAAAAGACAAUUGGGACAGAUAAAGUGGCACAUACCCAAACAUUUGUAACAAACAAAUUCAUGUAUGGUAAAGUCAUAUAAGUUACAAAGCUGUUGGACAAUUGUAUGUAUGAGCAAAAUUACUCCAUAGUAAUCCCACCAAUAAUCUAGUAGGGAAUCCACUAAUUAAACCUACCACCUUACAACUAGCUUUGUUCAUUCUACUACAAGUCCACAACCCCUUGUACCCAUAUAAGAGUGGUUAAUGGCUACCUACAGCAACAAAAGUGCACACUACUACUUAUAGGUAAGUUGCACUUAAAUAUUUGCCGGGGAUCAGUUAACCUACUACUUAGUUGGUCAUGCCAGUCACUAUGAGCUUUGGUAGGUGAUUAAUCCCCUUGGCAAAUGGAAUUGGAAAACAGAUGUUGUUCCUAAUCCUGACGCUCCAUUGGCGCAAUGAAACUAAUAAUUUUCUAUUAAACGAGAUGUUGAAAUACCCAAGCUUGACGCAUCGUUUGGAGUAGAAAAUUGUGAAAUUUGCUUGGUUAUUACACUUGUAUAUAUCAUAUUAGCAGAAUAUUUUCAUGGGAUUUUGUAUGUUAGCAUUAGCCUAUUUGAUGCUUCUUAUGUAAUAAAAUAUGGGGCCUCAGUUAUCUUAA